CUGCUUUUCAAUCGACACAGCGGGAUGUUCUAAAGACCUUGGCCUCUUUGCAUUUUGGCUUCCUUGUG
rnacentral:lncRNA from 13 species